GUCCUCGGAGUCCAGCUUCUUGCCCAACCCGCUGAGCAGGGAUCCCUGGCCGUCCGAGCCCGUUGGUGAGGACGGUGAGUCGGAGUCGGACUCGUCCUGGGACAUGGAGCUGUUUGUCCCUGAUGGACUGCAAGGAUUUCCUGCCAGAGAGGGGACUUCAUGGUUCUUUUUAUUACCACAAGUCAUCCAGGGCCUAAACCAGCAAGCAACCCCAGACCAUCACACUACCACCAUCAUGUUUGACUAUCGCCCAUCUUCCCUCCUCCUUCUCAGCUCCUCUCCUGGUUGCAGUUGUAUUUGUACGCCUUUGGAAGAUUACAAAGAGGUGCUUUGUGAAGGGAUGCAGCUGCUGAAAUUCAACUAGAUCCAGCUGAAGAGAGAAGGGAGCAGGACCAGUCCUUCAUGACCAGGUCACAUCAGAUCGGCCUGGCGGAUGAGGAUCUCCGGGGGGCCGCAGGGUGCUGGUAGUGGGAACAUUGCCUCUGUUAUGAAAGACACCAUUGUCCCGUCUGCCUCGCCGACAUAGAAAAUGAAUAAAUCAAAGUGGAGACAUCAAGAGUGGAGGAGAAGAGGGAAUGGCAAGAAGGGGGGAGGGGGGGGGGGUCUAUCUGACAUCUGCAUUCUUAAACGACGGAGCAUUUAGCUCUGUAAUAAUGGUAUCUUCAUGUCACAAAUGCCACAAUGCUGAAGAAAUUAACAUUUAAGUAGGAUUUUACCUCUGAUCAGAUUUACACCUCUGUUCCCCUGUGGUGCUGUCAACCUGACACUUAACAGAUUUUUGUUUAUUAUAUUGCUUUUGUCAUCCCUGUAUUUUUAUCUUGCUAAGUUAGCUGGAACCCCUGAGUUGUCAAACACAUGCCAUCACAGGAUGUGUCAACAGCUUAAAGUUACUGUGAUGCUAUUUGUGCUGAUUUGAUCAGGAAUUUUAAUUUUAAUUUUCUAACUUUUUAACUUAAACUAGUUUUUACUGAUGUUUUAUUGGUUUUACAUCUUCAACUAUAAAAAGCAGGCCUUCUCACUUUGUUCAUUUAAAGCGUUGCUAAUGUAAUCAUGUGACUUGCUGAUAAAAGAUCAAAGGAUCUCCAUGGGAAAGAUUUUUUUUAUAUAUUUGUUUUAAAGCACAGUUAACCAUCUGUCAUGCAGUGUUAAUUUUGUAAAUUUCAAGAGUAAAAGUGUAGCCUGCACUGUUCUGUACAAACAAUAUUUGUGUGCAUCAGUUCCUUUUUAACUUAAUUUAUCUUGAACCAUCUAAUUUUAUUACUGUCAGUACCCUUUGUUGGACUGUUUUCCUAACACGGAGACCUAGUGCUUUGUGGCAAGUAUAGCAAUAUCAUACCUGGAGGUUAUAGAGCAGGAG